rnacentral:rRNA from 1 species
UACGGAGGGUGCGAACGUUAAUCGGAAUCACUGGGCGUAAAGCGCGCGUAGGCGGUUCGUUAAGUGGGAUGUGAAAUCCCCGGGCUUAACCUGGGAAUUGCAUUUCAAACUGGCCGACUAGAGUACGGUAGAGGGAGGUAGAAUUUCCUGUGUAGCGGUGAAAUGCGUAGAUAUAGGAAGGAAUACCAGUGGCGAAGGCGGCCUCCUGGAUCGAUACUGACGCUGAGGCGCGAAAGCGUGGGGGAGCAAACGG